rnacentral:rRNA from 1 species
AGUGAACGCUGGCGGUGGACCUAACAUAUGCAAGUCGAACGGCAGCACAGUAAGAGCUUGCUCUUACGGGUGGCGAGUGGCGGACGGGUGAGGAAUACAUCGGAAUCUACUUUUUCGUGGGGGAUAACGUAGGGAAACUUACGCUAAUACCGCAUACGACCUACGGGUGAAAGCAGGGGAUCUUCGGACCUUGCGCGAUUGAAUGAGCCGAUGUCGGAUUAGCUAGUUGGCGGGGUAAAGGCCCACCAAGGCGACGAUCCGUAGCUGGUCUGAGAGGAUGAUCAGCCACACUGGAACUGAGACACGGUCCAGACUCCUACGGGAGGCAGCAGUGGGGAAUAUUGGACAAUGGGCGCAAGCCUGAUCCAGCCAUACCGCGUGGGUGAAGAAGGCCUUCGGGUUGUAAAGCCCUUUUGUUGGGAAAGAAAAGCAGCAGGUUAAUACCCCGCUGUUCUGACGGUACCCAAAGAAUAAGCACCGGCUAACUUCGUG